AGCAACUUCUCCCUAGCAAGCUUCAAUUGGUAUAUACUCUCUUUCAAUUUCUGCACACCCAUUGUCUCUGCAAAAUUUCUUGCGCAGAAAUCAACCUAUAUUCUCUGCAAACUCUCUGUGCAGCAACUCAUACUUAGAGGUUUUACCUCUUUAACUUUACUCUCUCUACACACUUCUUUCACAAGUGUUAAAUUGCAGUAAUUUGAAUUCAUAAUUUCAACCCACAGCAAACCAACAACUCAUGAUUAUUGAACUUCAAAAGCUAUAAAAAUGUAAACUUUUACACUCAUAAGUUGCAUUGCACCAAAACCUUUAUACUAAACUGUAGUAAUUAGAACUUAUGGUGUUGUGUGUGUGUGUUCUGUUGGUUGUGCGUCGGAGACAGAGGGAGGCCACGGCGCGGCGGCUCCGCACGCUGUUGCCGGGCCAAGGACGGAAAGGGAGAGAUGAGGCGGUGGAGCAGGGGCUAGGGCGCGGGGGAUGUCUGGCCGAGUGCAGGAGAGAGAUGCGGCACUGUCGUCUGAAAUUUGGGCGGUGGUGACGUCGUUAAGCCGGAAAGAGAGAUGGGGCCCUGGGUGGCGGUGGCUGGCCUCACCAGCCACUACGGUUGCCGGAGUCGAGAGAGGGGAAGGAGGGCUGUUAGAGAGUUGGGGCUAGGGGUUUUCAGAGGAAGAAAGGGGUGGUGGUGGUUCUCCAGCCAACAAGGGAGCUGAGAACGCGGCGGCGGCCAUGGUGGUGAUGGCUGUCACCGGAAAUUUUGUGGGAGAAAGCCGCGGCGUUUUCCAUUGUGUGAGUGUGUACCGCCGUGAGGGAGAAAGAGAGAGACAUGGGAGGGGUUGAGAAGCAAGAGGGCGACGGCAGUCAGGCGGCGGAGGCGACGCUACCGCCGCCGGAGAAGAAGAGAGGGGGGUGGGAGAGGGUGCCUGCUGCGGCGCAGCUGUGUGUGUGCGCGUGUUUGUGUGUUUGUGUGUGUUUAAAGAGAUGAAGAAAGACUUUGGGCUUUAGGUUUGUUCUGCACCCGUAAGCACAAGCGUAAUUAAUUAUCAGUGUGAUCAACUAACUGUGGACGUAGGAAAACGUAGAAAAGGUUUUUGGAACCACGUUAAAAAUCUCUAUGUCAUUUAUAGCUUUCAGUAUUUCAUAUUUUAUCUGUACACAAAGCUUAUGUACUGAAACUAUUAACUUGAAAAGAGAAACAUUAAAAUUGACAAUCUGAUUCACUAAAGGCUAUUUUUUAAAAUCGUUUCCGCUCACCAGGUGUUAUCAGUCUAACUGACAAACCUUGUAGUCAGUAAGAUUUAUAACACUUACUCUGAUUUACAGCUGAUUAGACUGAAGCCUUAACUGAACUCUCAAUUUGUCGACUAGUUCUUCAUACUAAAGUUAUCCACUGAAUCAUUAUUAGUAUCAGUCUAUACCUUCUUUCAACUAAUCUUUGUUUUCACUGAUCACGUACACAUUCUUCUACAGUUAUCGAAAGAAGUUUAAAGUUUUAAAAUAGCCUACUGGUGUAUCCUCCUACACAAGUUCAGUGACCCUUUGGGAUCCAACACAUUCUAUUUUCAAUCUUCGUACAUUAUAUAUGUACGAUUUCAACAAUUUAGUAUGUAGUGACCCAAAAUAUUUUAACUUCAAAUAUUAAAUUCUUUAAUUAUUUUUAAUAAUUAAAUAUUAAGUCUUAUAAGUCACCGCCUAGAUAGUGCAUGAGCAUGAGCAUUUUGACUAUAAUAAUUUCUAAGCAUGAAUAUAUUUUUUAUUAUUAAUUCUAUGGUUAUAUUUUUAAUUAAAGAUUCUUCUUUUGUAUAUAAGACACUACCUAUUUCUUUUGAUAAAGCCCAAAUAGCAAUCUUUUAAUAAAGACCAAUUCUUUUAAUUUCUUUAACCCAUGAUUUGAGCCCAAAUGAAGUGAGUAAAGAAUAUCCCUAAAAGUUCUCCUUUUCAUUUUUGCAGCAACGUGACGAAGGGAUUUACCAUAAUUUCCUUUUUGAUACUUUUAAAACCAUGAAAAGAUUUAUUUGAUUGAUCUCUCUUCUAAAAAUAAACUCUCAACUCCUUGUAUAUAUAGCAAUAGCACCUCCCGUCUUCCUUAUUUCCUCACACUUUUCAUCGAGCUCUUUUUCUGCUAGGAGAGGAACAGCACACAAGACUUAAUUAUGUAAUUUCGAAUUUUAUUCAAGAAAGGUUAAUGUGUGGUGUUUUUAAUUAUGCAUUUAAGUAAUUUAUCCUUAUUAUAUGUUUUGCUCAAUUAUUUAUGUGAUGCAGAUGAGAAUAAGUUCAUGACAUACGGGUUAUGUGAUUUAGCCUACGGGCUAUUAUGAGAAUAAGCUCGUGACCUACAGAUUAUGUGAUUUAGCCUAUGGGCUAUUAUGAGAAUAAACUCAUGACCUACGGGUUAUGUGAUCUAACCUAUAGGCUAUCUUGAGAGUAAGGGCAUGACCUAUGUGCUAUGUGAUGAUUACUAUAAUCGUGUAUUUUAUUGAUGUAUUUCAUAUAAUUUGGAUAAAUGUGCCCCCACUGAGUCUAUUGUACUCACCCCAAAACAAUACUUCAUCCGUCCCUGAAAUAAGUUCAUUUUUUCCUUUUUGGGACGUCCCCCAAAUAAGUUCUUCUUUAUUUCUUUCAAUUUUUGGACAACUACCCCACCACUAAUAUAUAAUACUUUAUUUAUUCUUACUUUUCAAUUUUUCACCACUCUCAAUACUAAUUAUAACAUAUUUUUCACCACUAUCAAUACACUUUACCACUUUUCCUUAAAACUCGUGCCGUCCCUAAAGAAGAACUUAUUUUGGGGACGGAGGGAGUAUCUUUUUUCAGGAAAAGACUUGGGCGAUGAAAGGUGGGCCGAGUUAUGAUGGUCAAGGAAUAAAGAUGAAGAUAUUUUUUUUAUUUUAAUUGGAACAAAGACUCAAAUUCAUUAUGUUUUAUUUAAUGUUUUCCGUUG
rnacentral:lncRNA from 1 species